rnacentral:lncRNA from 1 species
AGCUCAUGGGAUGUGAGGGAACCGAUAAGUUCCGCAAUGCUCAUAUUGUUCAAGUCCUUUGCUUCUUGGAUUGCGGUCACCUUUGGAGUCCAUUCUCGAGGCAAGGAUCUCAAGAUCUUUUUGACUUGUUCACUUUGAGAGUAGAUCUUGCCAAGUGCCGUCAAUGGGUUUAUGAUCUCCAUGAAGCGAGCAUACAUUUGACUUAUGGAUUCUUCUUGCUCCAUGUUGAACAUCUCAUAUUGAUGUACUAAAAUAUUGAUCCUUUGU